ACGCCGCCCUCAAAUUCAAAAUUUUGAUGCACCUUUUUCGUUUCUAAUUUCACCGUUGUGGGUCUGAAGAUGUAUGCGAUUCAAUGCCCCAGCGCAAGAAGCUUAAUCGGGCUGCUGUGCUAUAUACUACGUCAAAGCUCGCCGAUGGUGCCGCCGAGCCUUUGCAAUCUCUACUCAGAAAUUACGGCAGCUAAUUUGUUCUCGAUCUAUCACUCAAAAUCGAGGAGUAUGCGGAUCAUACUGUAAAGUUAUGACAACGAUUUGAUGUUGGUUGAGGGAAUAUUUGAUUCAGCGUUCAAUUAGAUGCAUCAGGAAGAUUUCAUUUGUUGAAAUGGGCAACAAAUAAGGUCUCUUAAUGCAAACGAGAUGUUCAGAGUCAAAUUCUCAGGAAAUUGCGCCACCUUUUAUUCUUUUCAAUGCAUUUAAUCAAGUUUACUUGCAGAUAAUAGACGUAGAUCAAUAUCAUUUUGUCAUCAUAUUCGACACUUGUUCUUUUGAUGAAAUAAGUUAGCUCUGAUCUCUAUUUGUUUUGAUUGACCAUACAAGGCUAGAUUAUUGGUCACAACCCGGUAUUUUUGGUCUCUAAAUACACAGCUGGCUUGUUCAAUGGUAAUUUGAACAAUUGCAAAAUAUGUUGUAUCCUAAUAAUUCUUACAACUGUAGAAGAAAAUACUUUAUAUUCAAUCUCAACCUUUGACAUUGAAAUGUUUUCUUUUUCUUCUUAUCAUUCCAAAAUAUCAAAUUCUGCCAAGGAAAAUAUUGUAGCAUGAGACUAAUAUUUUGUUGUCUUAAUCUCUUUCCUAGUUAACAUUGUAAUAUUUUGUCACUUAAUGUUGAUACUCUUAUCAUUUUCUUGAAAUCAAAUGGAAGGGGGCAUAUGGUUGAUGUAGUUUUUGUAAGGGCAAAAUAAUUAUUUCUCUUUGGUUUCCUAAGACUCGGUUAUAAGAUAAAUAGCAGAGGAAGAUCACCUCAUCAGAAAAGUCAUGUUAUUCUCACACUCGUCUUUUGGUAAAAAUAUCUACUAUUUGUUGCACUGUUGGGGUGAAAGGACAACUUCAUUGGCAUGUGUAUCGGGAUCCAUAACUCUUCAAGAAUUCUCUUCAGCUAUAUCAUCUUAGGUUCAGAACUAAAAGACUCAGAACUCGAAGAUGAAGUUGACUGAUCAUUGGGUAAAAACUCAGUGAGGACAUUACUUGGAGAAUUCAUCGAUUAUGGGCAAUGCAAAUGUUUCGUAGACUCUUUCUUUGGAGUUAUCCUUUGUCGCAAGUAGAAAUUGUCAAAUGGUAUCAAUUUCAUAGUUUUUUUUCUGCUUUCUCUUCAUUAGUUUUUAUAGGAUUGUGAACAUCAUGAGAUUACAUUAUAGAAAAAUUUGUAUCGUCUUCAAUAUUUAAAAAACUCGAUUCACUUUCUCCUCAUAUAAUAUAGCUUGAAUUUCAAGUUGAACAAUCAAUGUUGGAUAGAUAUUAUUUUAUGAGCUUUGAUUUGAAGAAAGUCAUGAAAAUCAGUAGUCAAAUCUUUGUUUUGUCCGUCCCCCCCCCCACC